rnacentral:rRNA from 1 species
GAGUUUGAUCCUGGCUCAGGACGAACGCUGGCGGCGUGCCUAAUACAUGCAAGUCGAGCGAACUUGCGGGAGCUUGCUCCCAAAAGUUAGCGGCGGACGGGUGAGUAACACGUGGGCAACCUGCCUGUAAGACUGGGAUAACUUCGGGAAACCGGAGCUAAUACCGGAUAACCCUUUUCCUCACAUGUGGAAAAGUUGAAAGAUGGCUUCGGCUAUCACUUACAGAUGGGCCCGCGGCGCAUUAGCUAGUUGGUGAGGUAACGGCUCACCAAGGCGACGAUGCGUAGCCGACCUGAGAGGGUGAUCGGCCACACUGGGACUGAGACACGGCCCAGACUCCUACGGGAGGCAGCAGUAGGGAAUCUUCCGCAAUGGACGAAAGUCUGACGGAGCAACGCCGCGUGAGUGAUGAAGGUUUUCGGAUCGUAAAACUCUGUUGUUAGGGAAGAACAAGUACCGUUCGAAUAGGGCGGUACCUUGACGGUACCUAACCAGAAAGCCACGGCUAACUACGUGCCAGCAGCCGCGGUAAUACGUAGGUGGCAAGCGUUGUCCGGAAUUAUUGGGCGUAAAGCGCGCGCAGGCGGUCUUUUAAGUCUGAUGUGAAAGCCCCCGGCUCAACCGGGGAGGGUCAUUGGAAACUGGGAGACUUGAGUGCAGAAGAGGAGAGUGGAAUUCCACGUGUAGCGGUGAAAUGCGUAGAGAUGUGGAGGGAACACCCAGUGGCGAAAGGCGGACUCUCUGGUCUGAAACUGACGCUGAGGCG